rnacentral:rRNA from 1 species
CCUACGGGUGGCAGCAGUCGAGAAUCAUUCACAAUGGGGGAAACCCUGAUGGUGCGACGCCGCGUGGGGGAAUGAAGGUCUUCGGAUUGUAAACCCCUGUCAUGUGGGAGCAAAUUAAAAAGAUAGUACCACAAGAGGAAGAGACGGCUAACUCGGUGCCAGCAGCCGCGGGAAUACAGAGGUCUCAAGCGUUGUUCGGAAUCACUGGGCGUAAAGCGUGCGUAGGCUGUUUAGUAAGUCGGGUGUGAAAGGCGCGGGCUCAACCCGCGGACGGCACAUGAUACUGCGAGACUAGAGUAAUGGAGGGGGAACCGGAAUUCUCGGUGUAGCAGUGAAAUGCGUAGAUAUCGAGAGGAACACUCGUGGCGAAGGCGGGUUCCUGGACAUUAACUGACGCUGAGGCACGAAGGCCAGGGGAGCGAAAGGGAUUAGAUACCCGUGUAGUC